rnacentral:rRNA from 1 species
UGAGGAAUAUUGGUCAAUGGGCGCAAGCCUGAACCAGCCAUGCCGCGUGAAGGAUGAAGGUUCUAUGGAUUGUAAACUUCUUUUAUUGGGGAAUAAACCUAUCUACGUGUAGAUAGCUGAAGGUACCCAAUGAAUAAGCACCGGCUAACUCCGUGCCAGCAGCCGCGGUAAUACGGAGGGUGCAAGCGUUAUCCGGAAUCAUUGGGUUUAAAGGGUCCGCAGGCGGAUGUAUAAGUCAGUGGUGAAAGCCUACAGCUCAACUGUAGAACUGCCAUUGAUACUGUACGUCUUGAAUUCGGUCGAAGUGGGCGGAAUAUGACAUGUAGCGGUGAAAUGCUUAGAUAUGUCAUAGAACACCGAUAGCGAAGGCAGCUCACUAGGCCUGGAUUGACGCUCAUGGACGAAAGCGUGGGGAGCAAACAG